CAGAGGGAGGCAAAGCCGCGAGGCAGAGCAAACCCCUAAAAGCCAUCCCAGUUCGGAUUGCAGGCUGCAACCCGCCUGUAUGAAGUUGGAAUCGCUAGUAAUCGCGGAUCAGCAUGCCGCGGUGAAUACGUUCCCGGGCCUUGUACACACCGCCCGUCACACCAUGAGAGUCGGGAACACCCGAAGUCCGUAGCCUAACCGCAAGGAGGGCGCGGCCGAAGGUGGGUUCGAUAAUUGGGGUGAAGUCGUAACAAGGUAGC
rnacentral:rRNA from 1 species